GAAGGUCAGUUACCAGAGAGACACGACAGAAGGUCAGUUACCAGAGAGACACGACAGAAGGUCAGUUACCAGAGAGACACGACAGAAGGUCAGUUACCAGAGAGACACGACAGAAGGUCAGUUACCAGAGACGACAGAAGGUCAGUUACCAGAGAGACGCCAGAAGGUUAGUUACCAGAGAGACGACAGAAGGUUAGUUACCAGAGAGACGACAGAAGGUUAGUUACCAGAGAGACGAGAAAGACGGUUAAGUUACCAGAGAGACGAGAAAGAUGGUUAGUUACCAGAGAGACGAGACAGACGGUUAAGUUACCAGAGAGACGACAGAAGGUUAGUUGCCAGAGAGACGACAGAAGGUUAGUUGCCAGAGAGACGACAGAAGGUUAGUUACCAGAGAGACGACAGAAGGUCAGUUACCAGAGAGACGACAGAAGGUUAGUUACCAGAGAGACGAGAAAGACGGUUAGUUACCAGAGAGACGACAGAAGGUUAGUUGCCAGAGAGACGACAGAAGGUUAGUUUCCAGAGAGACGACAGAAGGUUAUUUACCAGAGAGACGCGACAGAAGGUUAGUUACCAGAGAGACGCGACAGAAGGUUAGUUACCAGAGAGACGCGACAGAAGGUUAGUUACCAGAGAGACGCGACAGAAGGUUAGUUACCAGAGAGACGCGACAGAAGGUUAGUUACCAGAGAGACGCGACAGAAGGUUAGUUACCAGAGAGACGCGACAGAAGGUUAGUUACCAGAGAGACGCGACAGAAGGUUAGUUACCAGAGAGACGCGACAGAAGGUUAGUUACCAGAGAGACGCGACAGAAGGUUAGUUACCAGAGAGACGCGACAGAAGGUUAGUUACCAGAGAGACGCGACAGAAGGUUAGUUACCAGAGAGACGAGACAGAAGGUUAGUUACCAGAGAGACGACAGAAGGUUAGUUACCAGAGAGACGCGACAGGAGGUUAGUUACCAGAGAGCCGCGACAGAAGGUUAGUUACCAGAGAGACGCGACGAAGGUUAGUUACCAGAAGGACAACAGAAGGUUAGUUACCAGAGAGAUGCGACAGGUUAGUUACCAGAGAGACGCGACAGUCGGUCAGUUACCAGUAGGGUACUAGCAGAGUAGGGAACUAGCAGAGUAGGGGACCCCAGUAGGGGACUAGCAGAGUAGAGGACCCCAGUAGGGGACUAGCAGAGUAGAGGACCCCAGUAGGGGACUAGCAGAGUAGGGGACCACAGUAGGGGACUAGCAGAGUAGGGGACCAGAAGAGUAGGAGACCACAGUAGGGGACUAGCAGAGUAGGGGACUAGCAGAGUAGGGAACCACAGUAGGGGACUAGCAGAGUAUGGGACCACAGUAGGGGACUAGCAGAGUAGGGAACUAGCACAGUAGGGGACCACAGUAGGGGACUAGCAGAGUAGGGGAUUAACAGAGUAGGGGACUAGCAGAGUAGGGGACUAGUAGAGUAGGGGACUAGCAGAGUAGGGGACUAGCAGAGUAGGGAACUAGCAGAGUAGGGAACUAGCAGAGUAGGGGACCACAGUAGGGGACUAGCAGAGUAGGGGACCCCAGUAGGGGACUAGCAGAGUAGAGGACCCCAGUAGGGGACUAGCAGAGUAGGGGACCACAGUAGGGGACUAGCAGAGUAGGGGACCACAGUAGGGGACUAGUAGUGUACAAGUAGAAGUCUGCUCAAUUUAUCCAACAUAAUGGGUUGAUUAUAAUGUGUAUUAUUGCUGGAAUAGAAGUCUGCACACCCAGUAGAUUUACAUUUACAGUAGAUCAGGGAUCAAGGUUCCACCUCUGGUAUGGAUAUAUUUGUUUUCCCAAAAUGAUGCUUAUGUAAUAACAGCCUACUUACUAAGAUGUCUAACAAUUAUAAACAAGUUAUCUAAUUUGUACAUUUUGAAAUUAUAUGUUGAUUAAUUUAAUUUGUAUUAAUUGUUUAAACUUUAUUUAAUUGUUAACGUAAAAACAUUAUUCAAGAUGAACCAGUGUCAAUGUUCAUUGGAACCGUGCGCGGGCCUAUAGUGCGGGGGUAGCAGGAAAGAGACUGGGGCUCGCAGGUCGACUGGGAUCAGCAUCAGAGUCCUGAGGUAGGAUCCCAGCCAGAACCGUGCGAGGGCCUGAGUCUUGUUGUUGACCGGGGAGGUGGCAAGAGUCAGAUGUAACGCUGUGUAGCGGCUGCCCAGGAACAAGUAGAGGUCAGGCAAGCCUUCCCCCCCCCUUGGACCUGGGCCUCUUGACCACCUCCCUCCUCAGCCUCUCCCACUUGCCUCCCCACAGGAAGUAAAAAAGCAUCCGCUCCAGGUCUAAAAUACUCCUUUGAGGGGGAAUAAAAACAGAACUGAUUAAUAAACGCACAGCAUUAAUGAUUAAAACCUUGCCCUCAAAAGUCAGCUGUCGUAGUCCCCAAAAACCCAGUCUCUGUCUUACUGUCCCCAGGAUACCACUCCAGUUACCGCUCCCUCCUCCCUCCCGGUCAAAC